rnacentral:rRNA from 1 species
GGGGGGGGGGGGGGGGGGGGGGGGGGGGGGCGGGGCGAGCGGGGGGGCGCGGGGGGGCGGGGGUGGAGCAGGGGCGAGCGGGUGAGUAACACGUGAGCAACCUGCCCCAGACUCUGGAAUAAGCGCUGGAAACGGCGCCUAAUACUGGAUACGCGAGCAAGCCGCAUGGUUAUGGUCUGGACAGUUCUUCGGUUCGGGCUGGGCUCGCGGCCUACCAGCUUCUUGGUGAGGUAAUGGCGCACCAAGGCGACGACGGGUAGCCGGCCUGAGAGGGCGACCGGCCACACUGGGACUGAGACACGGCCCAGACUUCUACGGGAGGCAGCAGUGGGGAAUAUUGCACAAUGGGCGAAAGCCUGAUGCAGCGACGCCGCGUGAGGGAUGACGGCCUUCGGGUUGUAAACCUCUUUCAGCAGGGAAGAAGCGAAAGUGACGGUACCUGCAGAAGAAGCACCGGCUAACUACGUG